ensembl:lncRNA
GCGAGUGUGUUGUGUGUUGCCUGUUCCAAGACCGAUCUACAAAAAGCAGCUCACCCAGAGGGGAAUGUGCUGACCUUUGCAAAGGGAGGGUUUAAUCUGGGUAGCAUUUACAUAACCCUCACACCAAGACUCAUAGCAGGGCUCUCAGAAAAAAUGUAGCCCAGUUUGCGCUUUAUGUGACCUUGAGACUACACCUCAUUAUUUCCCGUGGCUGUAAUUCAAGCCAUUUAUAGCGUUUAGCUCUCAUUUGAAUAUCUUUAGUGGUUUAUGAACUCUUUAGACUCAUGUGCCCUCCUCCCAACUUAGACAAAGGUUUUACUCCUGGUAACUUCCUGGAAUUCUGUGGAGAGUCGUGGUAAGCAGAUGCUUAUGGGUGCUCUUGGGCUGGAUAUCUGCUAUAAAAAGCUCUCCUCCUGGGGCUGCCUUUUUUUUACUGCAGCAGCAGCAACAGCUGCUGGGUUGCUCUGGUGGCCGCUGGUGCAGAGCGGAGUGCACCUGCCCUCCACACAGCCCUGCAUCUGCUCCCACCCAUCCAGACCAGGGCUCCGACUGCCAGAGACACACACACAAGAGGGGAACAGUGUGCCAAAAGUACUCUAACCUCCCAUUUUUCCAUCCUUCAGCUAAAGAUUGAGACUCAAGGAGAACAGGCACAUUGUCACGAGGUCUGGGUGUGCAUGUCCUGACUGUUUCUUUUCACCAGAAGCUUUGUUCGAGAAAAAGCACAGUGUUCCUCUUAAAGAAAAGAAUGUAAAUGCCCUGCGGUAUGAUGUUCACUUUCUCCCUCCAUCUCUCAGUGUCACUCAGUCUUUCUCUUUUGUCCUCGCUUCUCCUUUUUGACCUCCUUUUUUGUACACUUCUGCUUUCUCUCAGAGCGAUGGUCCAAAUGAAUGAAUGGUCCAACUGAAUGGACUACAUUGUGAAAGUCAGACAGGAAACAAUUUAUCUUUGCAUGCUCAAAAAUGUAAAGAGAUGACCCAGAAUCAUUUUUGCCAGGAGGUCAUUACUUAAUGACACAACUUUUUUUCUUUUGCUGUUAAAUAUUUUCUCCUAUCCUAGCUUAAAUCCAACAUAACAUUAUCGGAGGAAAAAAAUGGCAAAAAAAAAAGUCAAAAAAGUAAAAAAAAACCAAACAAAAAAAAAAAUUCUGACUGUUUCUUGUACAAUACUAUGCUUUGACCUCAAAACACUUUUACCAUAGUUCAUGAUUUGCAAACUUAUAAAUUUUUACAUUUGUAUAACAUAACCAGCUCCAUAUAUAACAUACAUCAUAAUCUUGCUCGGUAGCUCACCUGGUUCAACAAUGACUUGAGAUGCAGCACUCAGGUACGGGUCCGUGAAACAAAAGUCACAAUAAAACAGAUCAAAGACUUGUAAAAGGAUGCUGA